AAGUCUUGAUCUCUACUGUGUCUUCUGCCAUAGGGGAAGGGAAAAAUGGGUUAGGAAGGAAGUAUUGAGAAAUUAAGUAUCUCUUCUUUUGCAUGUUAAAAUUUUAUAUAAGAAUUGAUAGCUUAUGUGUUAGAAAUUUGGGUAUGUCACAGAGAAGAGGAAAAGCUCAGACAUUCAUAUUAUGAACUUUUGGAACAUAGGAAAUUUGGGUAAGAGCUCUUAGUUGUGUGUUGUACUUUUCUUGGGCAUUUCUGUGAUUGAGGUUAGUUAGGAAAAUUUUAAGAUCAUUAGAAACUACAUUGUAGAGGUGGAAAAGCUGAGUGAAAGUCUAAGUUAAAAGACUGAGGUAAUCUGUAAAACAAUUUAGGUUUGGAAAUUGAUUUAAUUUUGAAGCUAUCCCUUAGAGCACUAAUUUAAUAUUUUAUUUUUACUCUAGAUCUUACAAAUUUGGCUCAUUAGCAUCAGAGGACAACUUCUGUUUCAGCUGCUCAAGAAGUCAGUAAUCAGGCUCGUGUUGAACCAACCACAUCCUCUAGACAGUCGACUUAGGAUCCUUCAUGAGGCCCUUCUGCUAAAAGGGCUACUAGUGUUGUUGUGUCUGACCCAUGUUAUUGAGUUAAAACUUGUUUUGUAAAUGUCACUUUAACUUGUGCGUUGUUUUUACGUAGUGGCUCUAAUAUGUGGUCUACUAGAACCUUUAUUAUAUAGCCUUGGUCCUAUAUAGCUUUGGGAGGCUUUGUUUUGAACUUGCUGCUAUCAUUUUGUUAUUACAGGCUCUUAUAAUAUUUUGGAUAGUUCA